AGGACGAACGCUGGCGGCGUGCUUAACACAUGCAAGUCGAACGAGAAUAGAUUGGAAGCUUGCUUUGAUUAUCGAGUGGCGGACGGGUGAGUAACGCGUGAAUAAUCUGUCCUAUACAGGGGGAUAACGCAUCGAAAGAUGUGCUAAUACCGCGUAGGACCACGGGGUCGCAUGGCCCUGAGGUGAAAGGAGCAAUCCAGUAUAGGGUGAGUUCGCGUCUGAUUAGAUAGUUGGUGAGGUAACGGCCCACCAAGUCAACGAUCAGUAGCCGACCUGAGAGGGUGAUCGGCCACAUUGGGACUGAGACACGGCCCAGACUCCUACGGGAGGCAGCAGUGGGGAAUAUUGGGCAAUGGGCGAAAGCCUGACCCAGCAACGCCGCGUGAAGGAAGAAGGUUUUCGGAUUGUAAACUUCUGUCCUAUGUGAAGAGAUGUAGACGGUAGCAUAGGAGGAAGCCCCGGCUAACUACGUGCCAGCCGCUGC
rnacentral:rRNA from 1 species